rnacentral:misc_RNA from 1 species
AGCUUCCACCGUUGAGUCUUUGAGCCCUCUCCACCAAGUUGUCGUGCCCAAAGCGUUGCUCCAUGUACUUCUUUUUGGUGUAAUGAUGCAACACAAGCUUGAGCUGAUUUGACACUAGUGAAAAGUACAGAUGAAGCAUCCAUUUGACAACCAUCAUGUGCUAGCCCAUGAUUUUCAAUCUCUUCUUUUGGAAGAGGGUAAGUAAUAGAACAUAUGGUGCCACACUCCGCCGCAAGCUGGUGAGCCUCUUUUGCCAUAUUUGCAUUUACAAUUCCUCCUAUUAUAACUGUCCUGGCGACCCUCUGCUUUCCUGAAUAAUUUCCAUCAUCAGCUGCACCAUUGGAAAGCAAUGUAGCCUUUUUUUUCCUAGCGGGCUUACCUGAGUUCUCUGUUCCUUGCCGGCUUGAAGCUUGUUUGUGCUUAGCUGCUUCAGUAGAAGCACCAUCUUUCCCGUCUUUUUCUUGUGCAAUACUUUGAGGGUUUGAAGCUUGUUUGAGCUUAGCUGAUUCAGUAGAAGGACCGUUUUUGCCGUCCUUUGCUUGUGCGGUACUUCCUGUUCCCUCCAUGUUUGAAGCUUCUUUGUCCUCAACUGAUUCAACUGAUUCAGCAGAAGGACCAUCCUUGCCGUCUUUUACUUUUGCAGUGCUUUCUUGAUCCCCCUUUGAUUGCCGUUGUUCACGAGGAGCACGCUGCAUAGCCUGUUUGACACCAAUUUUCCUUCCUCCAACCACUGAUCCAUUCUUUAGCUCGAUGGACCGGUUAGCAUCGUCUACAGAUGCAAAUUGGACAAAGCCAAAACCCCGGUGCUCGCUUGAACCUUUAUUGGUAACCAUAAAACACCGCCUAAUGGGUCCAACUUCACUGAACGUCUCCUCCAACUGAGCAUUAGUGAAAGAAUAAGGUAAAUUGUUAACAAAAAUAGUGGAAGGUGAGUGUUGGCUAUCGCCACCAGACAUCGUCUUCUUGUUUUUUCCCAUCUAUAUGAUUGUCAAGAAGCAAUGGCGUUUCGAUUGUCAAGAACACCGA